UCUGGCAAGGCACAUUCUGUACCCUCUUUAUCACUGAAGUCAGCAAUGGACUUAAAAAUAGCUUUGGCUCCCACACCCAGGGUACCACUGAUUCACUAAUGGAUGGACAGACACUGUUCCGGACUCCUUACUUAUAGGGAGUUUUAGACCGAGACCCCUAGAGCUGACGCACACAGUGUUCGGGUGCGGCUAUGCCGUACUGACCUAGGAACAGAGGUCUGUAGAUCCCAAAAGAAGGAAUGCUCAGGAAUUACAAAACCAAGAUUUAAGGUGCUGUCAUGCUGGUGACUCAAACGUGAUCAUCCUAAAAUGUCAUUAAGGGGAAUAUCUAUAAACUUGGGAACUGUAACGUGCUGAACAUACCAAAGAGGAGUGAUGUUACAAUGGUUUACAAGCCAUCGACCUCCCCAAGGACCUGGACUGCUUUGCAGAUACAUAUAAAAAUAAGAUCACUUCAGAUCCGACAGGAGCAGCCCUAUCUGAAGGGAACACGAGGAAGAACAGGGUGCCUGCACACAGCUGAGGGCUCCCGCAGGGAACAGCACGUGCGUCUGGAAAGACGAGCCGCAGGCAGGUCUGGUUUCAGCUUCACCCUGCAGGCCGCGGGGAGCCAGGAGCGGUGUCUGUAGGGAAGGAGAGGAACAGUCCGGCGGCGGAGUGGAACUCGGCCUGCGGGGCCUGGGGCCGAGAGGCUCCCAGCCCGCCCUGGUGGAGAAGCACCUGUCAGGGGUGAGAUCCUGAACAAAAGGAUGACUUGGUGCAACAUAAGCCAAGGCCACAGACAAGAGACUGAAGCAGCAGUGUAAUGCCUGAUGACCGGUAGGGAAGGGAGAGGACAGGAGAGACAUCUGGCAUGCUGCCCAGCCGGGGCGACAGAUGACAGAACCAGGGGCCCUUGCUGGUUGGGAGUGGUGAAGAAGGCAUGACCCAGGGUGCAUGGCCAGGCAUGGGGGCUCUCUGAAUCACCAGGAUGCUCACAGGUCACUGUGGCAGAGACCCCUCCAGUCUCCCAGAUUCCCUGUGAGUGGAUCUCCAAGGUCAGAGCUGAUCUAAAAUGAAAUCUGCUCUUAGACACUCGAUCAGUUACUGUCCCAAGAAGAUGCUCUCCCCCUGUAGCUGGGAGGACAUGAGCAGGGAACUAGUAACACCUUAACCCUGAGGCUGGGGGUCCAGAAGUGACAGGGACCUACAGCCCUGGAGUGAUGCUUCUAGAAGCACAUAGGUCAAUCAAACCAUCUAGCCAAUGAGGAUAGCUCUUGUUACACACGAGCUAUUAAGGGAGACCAUCCAAAUUUCUGUGUUCCUUCUGAUGGCAGAUGCCCUGAGAGCUCCUGGUCUUUCACUAGCAUCAAGUACAUACACUCCAUCUACUGCCCCCGCACCCCCCACCGCAAAGUGUGCCAAGCGGACCCAGGGCUCAAAGUCCUCUGUAUGUCAGUUCUCAAAAGGUGGUGAAGGACGGAACUUCCCCGGCAUCCAGCGCCACAUGGCUCUCAACUGCUCGCCUUGUGGUCUUGACCCUGCCAGCCAAGCCCUUUUCAUUCCUUUUUAGUUAAGCAGAAAAUGAACCAUCAGCUCCAUUUCCACUCUCUCUGCAUGAAUCCUUUUCCCUUUUCUUUCUUGGCUCAAACUAUAUGGCUCAUAUAGGAAUCCCACCGCGUUCUUCAGUGACUCUUACCUUGCUAAGUAUUCUUUUCUUCUAAGAAAUGCUGAAUCCAAAUCAAAGGUGGGAGAGAGUAUGAGAACACAUUCUAAGGGGCAAACACAAGCAAAGCAGAAGAAUAAACCUGUUGAUUUCUCGUUCCCCAGCUCUUACUCCCACAAAAUGCUAGAAAUUACUCGGGGGGAGGUGGGGCCUCUAUGGAAGUGAGGUCAGCAGCCCGGGAACCUGCUUCCUAUGCUUACUCAUGCCGUAAAAUCCCAUUAAGUCACCAGGACUCUUGGGGAGAAUAAGCUCUAAUACCAGUUAGUUCCAAAGCAGAAACCGCUCUGCAAUUUGCUCUUUACCCCCCCACUCCUCACCCAGAGCACGGACGAGAAUCAUCAAGAGUCGGUCUCUCCCCAGGCCUGGAAGUAAGCGAGGUGCCAAUGGCCAAGGUCAUGGUGGGCAGAGCUUGGGAUGUGUGAGGGGCAGCGCUGGGCCUACAGACCUGGCCUCCGCGCACAAGGACUUGGGGGCAGGAAGCUCCUCCAUGCCCCCUCGUUCCUGGGUUCCACCAAAUGACUCAGAGCUGUGGGAUCACAACUCAGCCAUAAAACAGAAAACAAACGAGGAACAAGACAAGCCUCUUUUUAGAUGCAGGCUGAAAUUUGGGGAAAAGUUAUCAGAACAAAGAAAAACGGUGCCUGCUGGCAGGCCAGUUUCCUUUUACUCACAGGAAACCUUUCCUGCCGACCUAAGAGACAGCCCCACCUGCUUGGAGACUGACUGUCGGUGCAGAAGGCGAGGGAAAUGGUACCGUGAGUUAACCAGUGACAGACACCAAAAGAAUUCUGAGCCGGGGAGAUGCAAGCUGGCCCCAGCACGUGCGUCAAGUCUGCGGCAAGAAGGGCCCUGGCGAAGGAUCACCCGCAUCAAAGCUUGGCAUCUUUAGCUCAGACGCUUCCCCUGGGCACAAGCCACACAGAUUGGGGCCAUAGACGGGACCAAAGACCUCAUUCCACGAGGAAUGAGAACAUGACUGGGUCAGUUGACAGAACUGGGAUACAAACUGUUAGCUACGAGCUCUUGCAUCAGUGUCACGUUCUCUAACGGUGACUGUGCCGCACUGCAGAGAGGGCACCCCGCUCUCAGGAAACAUGCAGGACGCUCGGGGGAAAGUGGCACCACACGCUGGAACUCUGUCAUACCGGCAAGGCUCUCUGACCUCUGCUGCCCGGCACAGGGGCCACUAGCCUCAGGGAGAUGCUGAGCAAUGAAAAUGUGGCCGGCGUGGCUGGGAACCGACUUUUACUUUUUAUUUCAUCCUAAUUUAAACAGCCUGUGGCUCGUGUAUUCGAUGGUGUAGAAAUAAAGGACCAUGACACCUCGAACAUACCCUCAAAAUCAUUCCCUGCAGGACACGUAUAUGAAAAUA